rnacentral:rRNA from 1 species
GACGAACGCUGGCGGCGUGCCUAAUACAUGCAAGUCGAACGCUUUUUCUUUCACCGGAGCUUGCUCCGCCGAAAGAAAAAGAGUGGCGAACGGGUGAGUAACACGUGGGUAAACUGCCCAUCAGAAGGGGAUAACACUUGGAAGCAGGUGCUAAUACCGUAUAACACUAUUUUCCGCAUGGAAGAAAGUUGAAAGGCGCUUUUGCGUCACUGAUGGAUGGACCCGCGGUGCAUUAGCUAGUUGGUGAGGUAACGGCUCACCAAGGCAACGAUGCAUAGCCGACCUGAGAGGGUGAUCGGCCACACUGGGACUGAGACACGGCCCAGACUCCUACGGGAGGCAGCAGUAGGGAAUCUUCGGCAAUGGACGAAAGUCUGACCGAGCAACGCCGCGUGAGUGAAGAAGGUUUUCGGAUCGUAAAACUCUGUUGUUAGAGAAGAACAAGGAUGAGAGUAAAAUGUUCAUCCCUUGACGGUAUCUAACCAGAAAGCCACGGCUAACUACGUGCCAGCAGCCGCCGUAA